GUGAUUGGUCCUCUGUAGAGCGGCUAUAAGAAAGCCAUCAGCCUGCUGGAGAAGCACAAACGCCGCUUUGCUGAGGAGAGGAAAAUGCGUCGUCCGCAGGGAGCGGUCAAGAUCAGCAUAGAGGGCAACAAAAUGCCCCUGUAGUUCCUGUGGUUGACCAGUGGGGGGCAGGUCCCAUGAAGAAGGGAAUGUCCCGUGUGGAUAAACAAAUGCGUAGAUUUGCUGACAUCCGCCGCCUGACGAAGACGGGUCACGCUGUUAAAAUCAGUGUAGAAGGAAACCGGAUGCCGCUCUGAUUUUAACCUCCGUAGGAUUUAUUCACUUUUUCUUUUUAAUAUCUUGUUCCUG